GCAAGCGUUGUUCGGAUUUACUGGGCGUAAAGGGCGCGUAGGCGGUCGUGACAAGUCACUUGUGAAAUCUCCGGGCUUAACUCGGAACGGUCAAGUGAUACUGUCGGACUAGAGUACAGAAGGGGCAACUGGAAUUCUCGGUGUAGCGGUGAAAUGCGUAGAUAUCGUUUGGAACGCCAAAGGUGAAAACAGACAGCUGGGAGUGUGCUGACGCUGAGACACGAAAGCCAGGGGAGCGAACGGG
rnacentral:rRNA from 1 species